AUAAAUUCAGAUAUUGCACAGAAAAAAAAUAACUUGAUUGGAAUAUCAGAAUUUAUUCCGUGAUCAUGAGAUUAACAAGCCCAUUCGAACGUACACUGACAGCGGAAAAAUAUUGAAUCAUGCUAUUUAGUUAUCGUGCGUCUCGCUCGCGCCAAUACAUGUACAGACAAGUACGAGAGAAAUGAGAAAUGCACGAUAUCGAAAUAACAUGAUUAAAAUAUUCUGAUGUCCGUGUACGUUUGAAUUGGCUGAUCCGGCUCUGAAUUUCUGAUAAAUUCAGCUCGUGUAAUAUGGAUUAAGAUUCAGAUAAGAUUCAGUUCAGAUCAUCGUACAGAGGGAAUUUUGUAUUGCAACCUUACCGCUGCUUAUUCACAUAUUUUUUGUCUGGGACUAGGCCCCGCAGACGGCGUAGGUAUAUUACGCUAAAAAUUGACCACGAUCACGAUACCCUAAAACUAAAACAUUAAUCCAAAAUAGAGCAAAGUUAUAAAUAAAAUAAACAUCAAGUGGAUUAAGAACCUGGUAAAUCACCUUAUGGAAACGUAUAAAAUCCUAUAAAAAGAACCGCUUCGCUUAGAAACAGUGAUUAUCUAAAAUGAAGCUACUGGUAGUGUUACUCGUGAUAUUUGCGUUGACAAUAUGUCUCUGCGAGAGUGCUCCCCUAAAUUCAGAUCGGACAAUUAGAGAAAAACGCAGUUAUGGCGGUGGUGUAAAGAAAA